AUGUUCUUGUGUAUUUUGCAGAUUUGUGUUUGCAUUUGCUAUGUCAUUUGGGAGUUUCUCAUAGAACAAGCCCGGUUACAUAAGAUGAGCACAGGAUUCAGCGCAGAGAUCUUUGUGCAGAAGCUUGCGAAGCUUAAUAUUGCACAACAAAGUAUAGAGACUUUAUCACACUGGUGCAUCUUCCAUCAUCGUUGUUGCCAGGAAGUUGUUGACAUAUGGAAUAGAGAUUUUCACUCAGCUCCUCAAGAGAGAAAGAUAUCUUUGCUGUAUCUUGCAAAUGAUAUUAUGCAGAAUAGUAAGAAGGAUGGCCUGAGAUAUAUACAUGAGUUCUUGAAGGUCAUCGCUGCUGCCUUAGAUGACCUGUUCACCAAUGGUGAUGAUUUUGGACGAAAUGUUGUAAAAAGACUGGUUGACAUAUGGGAAGAUCGCAAGUUGUUUGGCACCCAAGGACAACUUCUAAAGGAAGAAUACAUCCGCAAAUUUAAGGAGCUAAAGUCGAAAAAACCAGGUGGAGAGCUGGUGGAGAAGGUUAUAUCGAGCUACAAGCAUAUGCUUCGGGCACCUGUAGAUGAGGCCAAGUUGAUGAGAGAAUGCAACAGUGCUCUAAGCUUUGUUGACAACCUGAACAAAGAGUACGGAAAUUCGUACUUAGGGAGCAGCAAUGGAUAUAGCUUUGUGGAGGAGCUGAAGGAACAACAUAGUAUUCUGAGAAACACCAUUGAACGAUUCAAAAUGUCUGAAUCACUCAGGGCCACUCUGGUAUCUGAUUUGAAGGAAGCACUCCAUGAGCAGGAGUUCAAGACAGAACUUGUCAGANNNNNNNNNNNGGCAGCUCAGGUCAGAUAUAGGAAAGCUGAUGACCUCUGCCAGAAGCUCGGAAUAGAUGUACCAAGGCACGAGCCAUCUAAUGGGGUUGAGAACUCCAGUCUCUCUGAAGUGCCUGCUACUUUUCCCCCAGUUUCAGCUAAUGCUAAUUCUGUCGAGAAGGGACGAUCGACUGCAGUGAUGUAUUCACGGGAAGGAGAUGGAAGUGAGCCUGAGACCCUCAACGGCGGUUUUUCUUCACGAGCCACCAGGGACAACUUUGAGCAGAAAAUAGAAGGGCACCCUCCUGUUACUAAGAGGCAGAAGAUAGAGAAUGGUAUAUCUGUUCCUCAGCCUGAAGCACCCCCACCGCCACCCCCACUCCCGUAUCCUGAUACAUUUGAACAGCCACCACCACCGCCUCAGUAUCCUCCAUCACCAGAGUCUAGCCCACCACCACUUCCACCUUCGAUGCCGCCCCCAAUCCCACCACCACCACCACCUUCUACAGAUGCAUUUAUGCCAGUUCCUGCUCUUCCAAUGGGAGGAAUGCCAUAUUUCCCACCGUUUCCUCCACCUGUAAACUAUCCCAUGAUCAACAUGCCACCGCCUUUCCCUGGUGCCCCAAACCCUCCUCACCCAGGUUUCCUUGGAUUUGGGGGUCCCUUCUAUGGCCCGCCUUUCCCCUCGGCACCCCACCAAUGA
rnacentral:rRNA from 1 species